rnacentral:rRNA from 1 species
AGAGUUUGAUUAUGGCUCAGGAUGAACGCUGGCGGCGUGCUUAACACAUGCAAGUCGAACGGAAAGGCCACAGCUUGCUGUGGUACUCGAGUGGCGAACGGGUGAGUAACACGUGGGUGAUCUGCCCUGUACUUCGGGAUAAGCUUGGGAAACUGGGUCUAAUACCGGAUAUGACCACUUUUUGGAUGGGGUGGUGGAAAGCUUUUGCGGUAUGGGAUGAGCUCGCGGCCUAUCAGCUUGUUGGUGGGGUAAUGGCCUACCAAGGCGUCGACGGGUAGCCGGCCUGAGAGGGUGUACGGCCACAUUGGGACUGAGAUACGGCCCAGACUCCUACGGGAGGCAGCAGUGGGGAAUAUUGCACAAUGGGCGCAAGCCUGAUGCAGCGACGCCGCGUGGGGGAUGACGGCCUUCGGGUUGUAAACUCCUUUCGUCAGGAACGAAGCGUAAGUGACGGUACCUGGAUAAGAAGCACCGGCUAACUACGUGCCAGCAGCCGCGGUAAUACGUAGGGUGCGAGCGUUGUCCGGAAUUACUGGGCGUAAAGAGCUCGUAGGUGGUUUGUCGCGUCGUUUGUGUAAGUCCACGGCUUAACUGUGGGAUGGCAGGCGAUACGGGCAUAACUUGAGUGCUGUAGGGGAGACUGGAAUUCCUGGUGUAGCGGUGAAAUGCGCAGAUAUCAGGAGGAACACCGAUGGCGAAGGCAGGUCUCUGGGCAGUAACUGACGCUGAGGAGCGAAAGCAUGGGUAGCGAACAGGAUUAGAUACCCUGGUAGUCCAUGCCGUAAACGGUGGGCGCUAGGUGUGAGUCCCUUCCACGGGGUUCGUGCCGUAGCUAACGCAUUAAGCGCCCCGCCUGGGGAGUACGGCCGCAAGGCUAAAACUCAAAGGAAUUGACGGGGGCCCNCACAAGCGNCGGANCAUGUGGAUUAUUUCGA